rnacentral:rRNA from 1 species
UACGGAGGAUCCAAGCGUUAUCCGGAUUUAUUGGGUUUAAAGGGUGCGUAGGCGGAUUGAUAAGUUAGAGGUGAAAUGUCCGAGCUCAACUCGGGAACUGCCUCUAAUACUGUUGAUCUAGAGAGUAGAUGCGGUAGGCGGAAUGUAUGGUGUAGCGGUGAAAUGCUUAGAUAUUGCGCAGAACUCCGAUUGCGAAGGCAGCCUACCGGCUUCUGUCUGACGCUGAGGCACGAAAGCGUGGGUAUCGAACAGG